UACAGAGGCCCCAAGCGUUAUCCGGAAUCAUUGGGCGUAAAGGGUGUCAAGGCGGUUAUGUUAGUCUUCCGUAAAAUCCAGGAGCUCAACUUCUGGCCCGCGGGAGAAACGGCAUGACUUGAGGGUGGGAGAGGUGCGUGGAACUCACGGUGUAGGGGUGAAAUCCGUUGAUAUCGUGGGGAACACCAAAGGCGAAGGCAGCGCACUGGCCCAUUCCUGACGCUCACACACGAAAGCCAGGGUAGCGAACGGG
rnacentral:rRNA from 1 species